GUGCGCGGCCGAGUGGUUGAAGGCGACGGCAGAAGGGGCCCGGGUUCAAGUCCCGGGCACGCACA